rfam:Patagioenas fasciata monilis isolate BTP2013 Sc31e1R_53, whole genome shotgun sequence.
CAAACGGCUCUUUUAAGAGCCACCCACAUGGUCUUAAAGGGGCUC